rnacentral:rRNA from 1 species
GCUGACGAGUGGCGGACGGGUGAGUAAUGUCUGGGAAACUGCCUGAUGGAGGGGGAUAACUACUGGAAACGGUGGCUAAUACCGCAUAACGUCGCAAGACCAAAGAGGGGGACCUUCGGGCCUCUUGCCAUCAGAUGUGCCCAGAUGGGAUUAGCUUGUUGGUGAGGUAACGGCUCACCAAGGCGACGAUCCCUAGCUGGUCUGAGAGGAUGACCAGCCACACUGGAACUGAGACACGGUCCAGACUCCUACGGGAGGCAGCAGUGGGGAAUAUUGCACAAUGGGCGCAAGCCUGAUGCAGCCAUGCCGCGUGUAUGAAGAAGGCCUUCGGGUUGUAAAGUACUUUCAGCGGGGAGGAAGGUGUUGUGGUUAAUAACCGCAGCAAUUGACGUUACCCGCAGAAGAAGCACCGGCUAACUCCGUGCCAGCAGCCGCGGUAAUACGGAGGGUGCAAGCGUUAAUCGGAAUUACUGGGCGUAAAGCGCACGCAGGCGGUCUGUCAAGUCGGAUGUGAAAUCCCCGGGCUCAACCUGGGAACUGCAUUCGAAACUGGCAGGCUUGAGUCUU